AUGUCUUUUAGACCUCAUUACAACAUUCUCAUUCUACAUAAAUACCCUGCAACCAAACACAACAUCACCAAAACAACACAGGUUUCUUUCUCUAUACCAAAUUCAAACACAUUUCAUUACAUCAUGGACAUGAAGAAGGUUACCUGCGCCGUUCUUGUUGUCGCUGCCUCCAUGAGUGCAGCAUUGGCUUCCACUGUUGAGGUUCCAACAUCUGCACCUGCCCCUGGCCCUGCCAGUGGCGCAUCAACAACUGUUGUUGGUUCCUUGAUCGGUGCCUCGUUGUUGUCUUUCAUUGCCUUGUUCCAUUAA